AUCGAACGCUGGCGGCAGGCCUAACACAUGCAAGUCGAGCGAAGCGGCGGAUGGGUGAGUAACGCGUGGGUAACCCGCCCUUAAGUCUGGGAUACCAGAUGGAAACAGAUGCUCAUACCGGAUACUGAAGGAUGGACCUGCGAUGCAUUAGCUAGUUGGUAAGGUAACGGCUUACCAAGGCGAUGAUGCAUAGCCGAGUUGAGAGGCUGAUCGGCCACAUUGGGACUGAGAAACGGCCCAGACUCCUACGGGAGGCAGCAGUAGGGAAUCUUCCACAAUGGACGAAAGUCUGAUGGAGCAACGCCGCGUGAGUGAAGAAGGUUUUCGGAUCGUAAAGCUCUGUUGUUGGAGAAGCGGUAAUCAACCAGAAAGCCACGGCUAACUACGUGCCAGCAGCCGCGGUAAUUC
rnacentral:rRNA from 1 species